GACGACGACGACGACGACGACAACUCCUCGCCGCUGCAGCAGAAGCGCUUAGACACCAUGGCGUCCGACGAUUCGUCGAGUCACUAUCGCUUACAACCGGUCCCACACAACUCCAGAAGUGGGACCUGCAAUUCGCUACCCGGGUAUGUGCAAUUUGAUGAUAAGGUGAGAAUUAGCUUGUAUAGUGGAUCAAAAUCGGUCAUUAGAGAGCUGAAGAGAAAGCUAGUGAGUGAACUUGAUCAAGUUAGGAGCUGGAAAAAGAAACUUGAAGCUAAAGAAAUUCAGUUUAACGAUAAUGGAAUGAUGGAUACCAACGGAGUUGCUACUCUUGCUAGGGUUAAUUCUGAGGUGAGUUAUGUGGGACCUACCAAUCCACGGCCGUUGCAGGGUUUAGCUGUGUCCGUGGAUGAUAACUGUAAUCAUUAUGAUUACGGUAGUGUUGGUGAGAAUGUGAAUAAAGAGAAGAAAACCCCAAAGGUGAAUCAGAAUCAUAAGAAUCUGGAUUCUGUGAGGAGGGGAAAGAUUUUGAAUUCAGAGAAUGAGAAGAAGUUGAAGCUAGGUAAUGGAGGGAAAAAGGGCGGUGGGGGAAAAGUAAUGAAGUUGGGUUCAGGGAUGGAUAAACAUAGUAGAGAGAUGUUUAAGAAGUGUGGAGACUUGUUGGAAAAGUUGAUGAAGCAUCAAUAUGGAUGGGUGUUUAAUGAACCUGUGGAUGUGAAGAAAUUGAUGUUGCAUGAUUAUUAUAAGAUCAUCAAACAUCCCAUGGAUUUGGGGACAGUUAAGAGUAGACUGAAGAAGAAUCUGUAUGAAUCGCCUAAGGAGUUUGCAGAGGAUGUGAGGCUGACAUUUAAUAAUGCCAUGACAUAUAAUGAGAAAGGGCAGGAUGUCCAUAUUAUGGCAGACGUAAUGUUGAAGUUAUUUGAGGAAAAGUGGGCGGCUCUUAAGGGUGAGUUCAACUUUAAUGACAGGUUUGAUAUGGGGUAUGAUGCAAGUAUUCCCACACCCACUUCAAAGAGAGCUCCCGCUUCUGCCCCUACUUCUGCUCCUCCACAGAAAAUGCCCUUGGAGACAGGGACAUUGGAUAGGUCAGAGUCUAUGACAAAGCCAAUGGAUUUCAACUUGAAGGCGACAAAUAUUGCUGCACAUGAAGGAAGGAUGCCUAUAUCAAAGAAGCCUAAAGCAAAGAAUGAUCAAAAGAGAGAAAUGACUUUUGAAGAGAAGCAGAGACUGAGUACAGACCUACUGAGUUUGCCGUCGGAAAAAUUGGAUAGAGUUGUCCAGAUUAUCAAAAAAAGGAACCCUGGGCUUUGCCAACAAGAAGAUGAGAUUGAGGUGGACAUUGAUAGUUUUGAUACUGAAACACUAUGGGAACUUGAUACAAUUGUUACCGAUUACAAGAAGAGUUUGAACCAAAACAAGAGAAAAUCUGAACCUUUUUUUCAAGCAAGAGAAGAAGCUGGGCACAACUUCCAUGAGACUACUUGUACAUCAACUGCGGCAGAGGCACCAAAAGAAUCAGUAGCAGUUGAAGAGAUUGUCACUACAUCUCCUGAUCAAGUAGAAAAACAAGGUGAUAAUGGAUCAAGUAGUUCAAGCAGUUCUGGCGGUGACUCUGGAUCCUCUUCAAGCGAUUCUGACAGUGAUAGUUCCUCAGGAUAUGGAUCAGAUGUGCGCCAAUGACAUAAGAGUUGGUAGAUUUAGUUAAAGUAGGACGCAUUAUUCUUGGUUAUUGAAUUUUAACUUCCCUUGUUUCCCCUUGACCGUAGAUAAUAGUCAUUCAAGCUGUAGAAUAUCAGUUUACCCCCUAAAGUUAAUGGCUAAGCUGCUCACUGUUGAAUUGCUUUCAAAACAUAUGGGUGGUUGUAAGGUAAUGGCAACACCAACAUGCUAUGUGAUUAUGUGAUAUAUAUAUCUGUUACGUUGGCUGUAUGAUAGUUUAAUAAAGCAAAGUACAUGCUGAAUCUAGUCUAGUGAGCAUUUUGAUUUGUAUGUGCUUCUGUUUGUGGAAAAAUAUCUCAAUGAUACAUUUUGGACAGAAGCCACUUCAUUUGUCAAACAGAAGUAAAAGGCCUUGUCCAAUACUUAAAAACUAUGGUGCACAGAAAUGGGAGGGGGAGCGUUUCUGGAACAACGUUUCUUUGCCGGAAACGUGAGGACAUGACGAGGAAACGUCUCUGGACCGUUUCCGCAAUUCCAUGAAAUCAGAAACGCAUUUCCUCGCCGGACAAGCGU
rnacentral:misc_RNA from 1 species